CUUGGUGAGUUUUGGAUUGUGGCUCAGGACGAACGCUGGCGGCGUGCUUAACACAUGCAAGUCGAACGGUGAAGCCCAGCUUGCUGGGUGGAUCAGUGGCGAACGGGUGAGUAACACGUGAGCAACCUGCCCUCCACUUCGGGAUAAGCCUUGGAAACGGGGUCUAAUACCGGAUAUGAGCAUCCAUCGCAUGGUGGGUGUUGGAAAGUUUUUCGGUGGGGGAUGGGCUCGCGGCCUAUCAGCUUGUUGGUGGGGUGAUGGCCUACCAAGGCGUCGACGGGUAGCCGGCCUGAGAGGGCGACCGGCCACACUGGGACUGAGACACGGCCCAGACUCCUACGGGAGGCAGCAGUGGGGAAUAUUGCACAAUGGGCGCAAGCCUGAUGCAGCGACGCCGCGUGAGGGAUGACGGCCUUCGGGUUGUAAACCUCUUUCAGCAGGGAAGAAGCGCAAGUGACGGUACCUGCAGAAGAAGCGCCGGCUAACUACGUGCCAGCAGCCGCGGUAAUACGUAGGGCGCAAGCGUUGUCCGGAAUUAUUGGGCGUAAAGAGCUCGUAGGCGGUCUGUCGCGUCUGGUGUGAAAUCCCGAGGCUCAACCUCGGGCUUGCAUCGGGUACGGGCAGACUAGAGUGCGGUAGGGGAGACUGGAAUUCCUGGUGUAGCGGUGGAAUGCGCAGAUAUCAGGAGGAACACCGAUGGCGAAGGCUAGGU
rnacentral:rRNA from 1 species